AUCCUGGCUCAGGAUGAACGCUAGCGGCAGGCCUAACACAUGCAAGUCGAGGGGUAGAGUUAGCUUGCUAACUUGAGGCCGGCGCACGGGUGCGUAACGCGUAUGCAAUCUACCUUGUACAGGGGGAUAGCUCUUACAGGAGAAUAGCCCAGAGAAAUUUGGAUUAAUGCUCCAUGGUAUUAUGAGAUCACAUGGUUUUAUAAUUAAAGCUUCGGUGGUAAGAGAUGAGUAUGCGUCCUAUUAGCUAGAUGGUAAGGUAAUGGCUUACCAUGGCGACGAUAGGUAGGGGUCCUGAGAGGGAGAUCCCCCACACUGGUACUGAGACACGGACCAGACUCCUACGGGAGGCAGCAGUGAGGAAUAUUGGGCAAUGGAGGCAACUCUGACCCAGCCAUGCCGCGUGAAGGAAGACGGCCCUAUGGGUUGUAAACUUCUUUUAUACAGGAAGAAACCACUCUACGUGUAGAGUGCUGACGGUACUGUACGAAUAAGGAUCGGCUAACUCCGUGCCAGCAGCCGCGGUAAUACGGAGGAUCCAAGCGUUAUCCGGAAUCAUUGGGUUUAAAGGGUCCGUAGGUGGAUAAUUAAGUCAGAGGUGAAAGUUUGCGGCUCAACCGUAAAAUUGCCUUUGAUACUGGUUAUCUUGAGUUAUUGUGAAGUAGUUAGAAUAUGUAGUGUAGCGGUGAAAUGCAUAGAUAUUACAUAGAAUACCAAUUGCGAAGGCAGAUUACUAACAAUAUACUGACACUGAUGGACGAAAGCGUGGGUAGCGAACAGGAUUAGAUACCCUGGUAGUCCACGCCGUAAACGAUGGAUACUAGCUGUUGGGCUUCGGCUCAGUGGCUAAGCGAAAGUGAUAAGUAUCCCACCUGGGGAGUACGUUCGCAAGAAUGAAACUCAAAGGAAUUGACGGGGGCCCGCACAAGCGGUGGAGCAUGUGGUUUAAUUCGAUGAUACGCGAGGAACCUUACCAGGGCUUAAAUGUAGAUUGACAGAUUUAGAAAUAGAUCCUCCUUCGGGCUAGUUACAAGGUGCUGCAUGGUUGUCGUCAGCUCGUGCCGUGAGGUGUCAGGUUAAGUCCUAUAACGAGCGCAACCCCUGUUGUUAGUUGCCAGCGAGUAAUGUCGGGAACUCUAACAAGACUGCCGGUGCAAACCGUGAGGAAGGUGGGGAUGACGUCAAAUCAUCACGGCCCUUACGUCCAGGGCUACACACGUGCUACAAUGGCGGAUACAAAGGGCAGCUACUUGGUGACAAGAUGCUAAUCUCUAAAGUCCGUCUCAGUUCGGAUCGAAGUCUGCAACUCGACUUCGUGAAGCUGGAAUCGCUAGUAAUCGUAUAUCAGCAAUGAUACGGUGAAUACGUUCCCGGGCCUUGUACACACCCCCGUCAAGCCAUGGAAGCUGGGGGUACCUGAAGUCGGUGACCGCAAGGA
rnacentral:rRNA from 1 species